AGGGGUGGGCUGUGGGGGGGAGGCGGGGGGGCAGGCUGCCAUGGGGUGAGCACCUGCCUGACAGCUGACGGGACAUGGCCUGCGUCCCAGCAUAGGGCAGAGCAAGCAACUACAUACAGUGGGUGCCCAAAACAUACCCACAGAUGGUGCCAUCAAUCUAAGGGACGGGUGCCCCCACACAGAAGGCCCCGGGUCCGGCCCUGCGUGUAUGCAGGCACCAUCGGGGGUGGGACACCCAGGGAAGGAGGGCACUUGAGGCAAAGGUGACCAAACACCUCCAGAAACAGGGAGGGCAGCUGCAGGCCCCAGAGCCUCUAGAACCUUCUGUUCUGGAACCCGGUGGGAGCACGCAUUCACCAGACUUGGUGACCCCGCAAAGAACCAGGUGGGUCUCUCAAAGGGCCUGGGGGCCAAGCCAUCCCCACAGGAGACCCGGCCUAACUGGUAAAAACAAGGAAAUGACCCCAUCUGCAGGUUUCAAUGAAGGAAAGCGCAGGAGAGGAUGAAGGCCAGGGUUGCUGAGGAAGAGCUGACGGCGGGAACACAGGCACACUCGCACAAAGGCCCCGUGGUUGGUAGUACCAGGGCCACCCCACAAGGACGGGGAGAUCACCGUGUUGAAGGCCACUCACCUCUCCUGCUGGGCGCUCCUGCUGGCCGGUCUGCGCAGCAUCCCAGGACGUGCCCAGCUUGAAGCUCACGCACUGGAUGACGGUGCCAGUGUUGAGGCCGGCUUGCAGCAGCAGCUGCAGCAUCAGAAGCAACCGCAGCACGUCGUAGGAUUGCUGGUGGGAGACAAGGCGGUGAGCUCACGGCCCGCCCCGGCCCCUGGCUCUCAGCCACCCGGGGCCUGCCACCUGCACCAGAGACGCCACGCCCUCCAGCCCAGGCAGCCGUGCACGCAGCUCCCCUCCUCCCGCACACCCCCCUUCUCCCCAGGACCUUCCCAGAGCAGUUGAGUGAGUUGGUGUGAAUCGAUUUCAGGUUUUCAGGUACGGACACUUCUGCUGAUUUCAGGAACCUGAGCAGUAAUCAUUCUGUCUCGUGAGUGGGAGUCAAAGAAAUCAAUUCUGGAAGUUGAUUCUAAAACUUACAUAAAAAACACGCAACAAAAGUGAGGUAACCCUGAAGAGCAGAGGGAUCAGGAACUGGGCAUCCAGCCCGCCAGCUGGCGAAGCCUGUUCGAAAGCUUCCAUAAUCGGGACAGGGCGGCACCAGACAGCAGAUGUAGGAGAACGACAGGUGCAGACACAGACAGAAGCUUAACGUGUGAUACGGGCAGCAUCUCAGAUGACCGAGGAAAACGAUGGGUGUUUGAAGCCCCGAAGAGGAAAGGUGAACACCCAAAUACUGGUGAAGCUCAAAGUCCACUAGACAGUGAGCAAAAGACGGGACAGAGCUUACUGGAAAAGAAAUGCCAAAACCACCAGGCACAAAGGCCCAGAGUCUCGUGUCCAGAGACACGCACACUGCAGCCCCACCAGGCACGCUGGCUCACCCACGUGACAACACUGGGUGACAACGCUCUGUGCUGGGCUGGUGCUCAUACCAGCGGUGGGACGGAAAAUAGGGCCUCCCGUGAGGGGGACUCGUCACCAUUUCCCCAGACCAGAGAUGUGUCUGCCCUCUGGCCCAGCAACCCCUCUCCGAGCUCACUGUCCUAAUGUCGCACCACACAGACUCCAAACCAGGCGUGGGCACUGAGUUAUUCGUAACAACAGCAGCAACUGGGAGCAAUCCGUCUCCACCCUUUGGGGACAGGCUGGGAAAACUGUGUGGCGUCACAAUGUGCAUGUAUAAUUAAAGGACACAGAAAAGCUCCUGUCCUCGAUGUGAAGAAUGCAAACAGAAAAUAUUGAAGUCGACCAGGUAUCAAAUCAAUACUACAAACACGCAGAAAGGGGGCUGUUUCUCUCCUGAGUGGGGUGAAAGCGAGCUGUAAACUCGCUCGGCAGGUGUGCUGCUGGUGGUAACGUUGGUGGUGCAAUUGUGACAAUUUUUACAUACAAGAUAAAAUAAUAGCUACCCUCAAUAUUACCAGGAAACGAGAUUUUGGAGUAAAAAGAAUACUAAUACAAAACAACAGAAGUUCACAACAACAACAAAAAAUCCAGCAUGUAAUUCUGAACCGGAAAUACAGUAUCAAUUCAGGAUCUUGACGGAGGCUGAGAAGCAAUGAUGCCCCCGUAUGAAUGAGCACACACAGCCCUCAGAUCUUGAUGUCUAUGUACGCCUCCCUCUGAGGGGCCUGCGUGGGUCUGGGGCGAGGCAGGAUGAGGUGAGCCUGGGUCACCCCCCACGUCUGCAAGGAGAGGCUGACGGGUUACUGCAGGGAGCACCGGGCUGCAAGGUGCUCCCUCCAGCCACAGCUGGCCAACAUGAGCAUCAGAGAAUAAUGACAGCAGCACUGUGCAGAUAACAAAAACCCGUGAGUCCUUGGCGGUGCUCGGAAGGGAAGAGGGACAGGAGAGCUGGGCGUCUAUCACCUCUCUUCACCCCUAGGUGUGACACAAGCGCUCAGGCCGGGGCCAGCCACCAGGGCUGGCCCCGCACAAGGUGUCGGGACAAGGCACCCGCAGGUGUCCGGCUGACACCAUGGCUGUCUCCCUCCUGUGAGAGCCCCACCCACCGCCACCACCAAGAACACUCUGGCGGCUGCCGCCCAACCAGGCGGGAGGUGACAGCACGUGCUCUUGGCCUCACUCCCACUGGUGUCACAGGAAACAGAUCCACACGUGGGACCUUCUCCCAGACCACUGGCCAGGACUCCAAACUAUCAGGGCCACAGGGGAAAAGGUGGGGACUGUCCGGACUCGAGGGAGACUCGACGGCAAGUUGUGCCCCUCAGCGGGUCCUGCUCUGCGAGCUUCAGCCUAUGAGGCACAUUCUUGGGACGGUCUGUGAACACUGAACGUGACACUGCAUGAUUUUGGGCCUCUCACAUGCCGUGGUGGGAUUGUGCGUGUGUAAGAGGCAGUCCUUCUAGAAAAGUUAAAGUAUUUAAGGUAAAGGGUCCUGCUGUCCCACACCUGCCACUCACUUUCAGAUGCUCCCGAGAAAUGGUCCCACCCGUCAGUAUGAACACACAUGUACACACAACACAUAAAGCACUUAGAAUCCUGGUGUUUACUGCGGUGUUCUCUCAACUUUUCUGUACAUUGGAAAUGGCCCACGAAAAACACCUGGGAGCAAAUACCACGCGUGCUGGUGACAACGUAAGGCAUCUAAGAAACCAGCCUAGUGACGUGUGUCUGAGCCUGUGGAGACAGUGAAGUGCCGAGAGACCCCAGACAAGUUCUAGUUAGAGGCACGCUGUAUGUGCAAAGAGACCCAACUCUCCUCACGUUUAUCUAUAAACUUGUGAUUCCAACGGAAAUUCCAACAAGGUCUCUCAUACAACUGGAUGAAGGAUAGCUUCCAAAGUGAGAACGGAAGGAAGAAGGGCUGAGAAAAUCCAACAGCAUCAUGAAGGAGGGGUGUCUGGGUGGGACGCAGGGCCGCCUGAGACCAGGCAGAAUCGCCCGAAGUUAGAAGAAGAGGCAGCCUGCACGGAACAAGACUGCAUGGGCAUCAGAGAAGGGAGUGCAGACACCUGGCUGUCCGCGCAGAGAAGCAAAUUAGACGUGGCCUCGUGCCACAUGCAGAAGCAGCUGCACGCAGGUCAGACGCUCACGCGGGCCACCUGUCCCUCGAGACCCUCCUCCCACACAGCCUCUGGCAGCAACACCAGGUUCCCACAGGGUUCUGACAGAACGACGCAUACCUUGAUGGCUGGCGGGUAGUCUUUGAAGAUCUCCAGGAUUCUCAUGAUGCUGAACGACAGAUACCCAGAGGCAGUGAACAGCAGCGGGGACGUGAGGCUGCAGAUGGCAAUCAGCACCUCCACCUGACGGGAAGCAGGUGAGAACGCGGGUCUGGCCGGCCCGAGGGGCCUGGGAGCCGCUGUCUGCACAGGCAGGGGUGGACGUCUGCCACAACGUGAAGGGAGGGUGGACGUGGCCCUGGGCUCAGCACCAGGCCCUCACCAGGCUCUCUACACUCGGUCACCAUGAGCUCCACGCGUGGCUGUGUCCCACCAGAUCCCCUGCCUCGCGCACAACUAACCACUCUGUUCAAAGAGCAACACAAACGAACGGCCGGCCUUCCCGCUGCCCUAAACCCUGUUCUUUUAAAACCCCACCCACAUCGGAGGCCGCACAGCUGCAUGCAGGUGCUGAUAAAGCACGAACUCAGGUGUCACUGUCAAACAACAGACCUGACAAGACUCAGGAUGGGCCGGAAGGACCAGGUGUCGUCCUUCCUAUGCUGAGUCACAGGACUCUCCUUUCACACCAGAUGUGCUCACUUCCAGCCCUCAGAGUGCCACACAGCCCUCACCAGGCCGCCCCUGGCUCGGCACCCUCUCAGGCUCAGCCCCGCAGCCCUAUCAUCGUGGGGGAGAGCCCUGUCACAUGGCAGCCCGGGAAGGGGUGAGCCAGGCCCUAGCAGUGCACAGCAGGUCCCUGGUACCUGGGGACAGGGCCUCACUUACCAGACACUUGCUUGGACACUCAGCUGUGACGUGACUGGCAAUGGCGCUUGGAAAACACUAAGAGAAAACAAAACACAAAGAUUUCAGAGGUGACAGUCAAGGAAGUUAAUUCCAAUCACGUGCUCCUGUUUUGAUGGGCACAUCCUUGUGGCCAGUAGAGCCAAAGGCUGCCUUCCUGGCUAGGGGGCUGGCAGGGCUGGAAAGGGCCAGAGGGAAGCGGGGUGGCCUCUCCGAGGCCUCAUGUGCUCUGUUCCAUGGCUGCAAUGCACGUCUGCAAAGAAGCUGCAAGAGCCACACCAGGAGUGGCCGGGACGUCCCGGAACUGCUGCCUGUGACAUUUUGCCACCUCGGCUGAGAUCGGGGACACCUGCCCUGAGUAUGCGUGCGUGUGCCUGCUGAAACUGAGGCCAUUCUCCUGAACCAUCUCAAUUCAGCAUCACACUGAGGAAAUGUCAUACGGAUUAUGUGUGUUAUCUGUAUUCAGAUUCUCCCAACUACCCUAGUGAUGUCCUGUCAUACGUGUUCUUUGUUCCUGGUUUAGGAUGCAAUCAGUGAUCACAAUGUGCUUAUGAGUCCCCUUGACCAGGGAGACCUAGGUCAUUGUCAGAUGCAGAGGUCCUGAAGAGCACACCAGCUAGCUGCAGACGGGCAUUAGCUGGGGCCAGUCUGGUGCUUCCUCAUCAUCAGACUCAGGGAGCCCCAGGAGACAUGGCUCCCCGCCAGGCCACCCACUACACUAUGACCUAGCGGUUAGGUGGGCUCUUCAGUGGCUCUCCUCCACUAAGAGGGCCCUUUCCUCUUUAUACUCAAUAAACGUCUUUUUCCACUUA